UACAGAGGUGGCAAGCGUUGUUCGGAAUUACUGGGCGUAAAGGGCGCGUAGGCGGUCUUUUAAGUCUUGUGUGAAAUCCCUCGGCUCAACUGAGGAACUGCACGGGAUACUGGAAGACUUGAGUUCGGGAGAGGGAAGCGGAAUUCCGGGUGUAGCGGUGAAAUGCGUAGAUAUCCGGAGGAACACCGGUGGCGAAGGCGGCUUCCUGGACGAGUACUGACGCUGAGACGCGAAAGCGUGGGGAGCAAACAGG
rnacentral:rRNA from 1 species